GGGGAGGUGCCAGAGUGGACGAAUGGGGCCGCCUGCUAAGCGGUUAGGGGGCGAGAGCUCCCUCCAGGGUUCGAAUCCCUGCCUCCCCGCCU
rnacentral:tRNA from 1 species